rnacentral:rRNA from 1 species
AACGAACGCUGGCGGCAUGCCUAACACAUGCAAGUCGAACGAGACCUUCGGGUCUAGUGGCGCACGGGUGCGUAACGCGUGGGAACCUGCCCUUAGGCUCGGAAUAACUCUCCGAAAGGGGUGCUAAUACCGGAUAAUGUCUUCGGAUCCAAGAUUUGUCGUCUUUGGAUGGGCACGCGUUGUAUUAGCUUGUUGGUAGGGUAAAAGCCUACGAAGGCGUCGCUCCAUAGCUGGUCUGAGAGGAAGAUCAGCCACACUGGGACUGGGACACGGCCCAGACUCCUACGGGAGGCAGCAGUGGGGAAUAUUGGACAAUGGGCGAAAGCCUGAUCCAGCAAUGCCGCGUGAGUGAUGAAGGCCGUAGGGAUGUAAAGCUCUUUUACCCGGGAUGAUAAUGACAGUACCGGGAGAAUAAGCACCGGCUAACUCCGUG